AGAAACCUAUUAUAAGGCUUAUCAUGUUUAUAUGUGGGUCAUUAAAAUAGAGAUUUAUCCUCAACAAUGCGAUGACUUAAUUGUUGUCUCAGUGUUCAUGAGAAUUUAUAAAUCAAUUAUGUUAUCAAUCUCACCUAUAACAAAAGAUGGCGCUGUCAGUAUAGCCUCCGCUUUAUGUUCCUGUAGAAGCCUUUGUGUAAACACAUCAAGAUGCAAGAGACCGAGGAAGCCUACACGCCAUCCCUGACCUAAAGCUGGGCUGUAAAAGUAUUAAUAUUCUAUAAUAAAAUAUUUCUUAUUAAGGUAUCUAGGAGUAAAUAUUUACUUCAGGUAAUGAAGUAGUACACCAAUAACAAAAAAAAAUUAACACCUAGUUUAAAUUUUGCACAAAUAUUUAUUAAUGCAAAAUUGAAACAUAGUCAUAAGCAUAAUAGAAAAUAUCAAUUUUCAAUUCAAUUAGAGUUUAGACAACUUUCAAAACGAAAUGACAAUUCAACAUACCUGGAAUCCACAGUUACACUAACAGCGGAAUCAUUUAAUGCCAGCUUCCUGAUAGCGUCACUUAACUGUGUAUGUUGUGACUGAUCGGAAGGAAAGAUUCCAGCAUACACCAUGUGUUUGACCACUGGCGCCGAGGCCACUUUAAUGCCAUCUGCUGAUUCCAUGGACAGUAAUUCAUCACCAACACAUCCGCCUCCUUUUGGACCACAACCUAGAAAGGUUAUAAAUCAAAUAUAUUUGCAAAAACAUAUUCUGUUACUUUACUACUACUUCUACAAAUUGCUUCUUUUUUUCCAUAGUGUUGUGUAUUAGUUAUACUUGCUCGGUAUUGUUUAAUAAUAUAAUGUCAAGUAUAAUGUAUAUAUUACGAGUUUAAUAUAGUUUUAUUUGAUAGCACACACAAUAUCGUCCAUAUUUUUAAUCAUUUCAUACUGUUCUCAUUUUAAUUAUUACAUAAUGAAUUCUCAUAUGUAUGUAAUACAAAUUCUUGGUAUAAAUUACUUGCUAAACUUCCACUUACCCACCAUCACAACUUGCCCGGCUACAGCCUUUUUUAUUGGUUCUUCAUUAGGCCGCAAUAAUGCUAAGUAUUUGAGGACAUGCGGUUUGCUGUCAGAUCUCCACCGCACAGUUUCACCCACUUCCACUGAUCCUGAUUCUAUAUAAGCCAAACACAUAAUCCCUCUAAAUUUAUCAUGCCAGGUGUCUAUUAUUGAGGCUCUAAAAGGUUUCCUAACUUCUACUGUUGGUGGAGGUAUUCUGGAUAUAACA